rnacentral:rRNA from 1 species
AACGAACGCUGGCGGCAUGCCUAACACAUGCAAGUCGAACGAGACCUUCGGGUCUAGUGGCGCACGGGUGCGUAACGCGUGGGAACCUGCCCUUAGGUUCGGAAUAACUCCCCGAAAGGGGUGCUAAUACCGGAUAAUGUCUUCGGACCAAAGAUUUAUCGCCUUUGGAUGGGCCCGCGUUGGAUUAGCUAGUUGGUAGGGUAAAAGCCUACCAAGGCGACGAUCCAUAGCUGGUCUGAGAGGAUGAUCAGCCACACUGGGACUGAGACACGGCCCAGACUCCUACGGGAGGCAGCAGUGGGGAAUAUUGGACAAUGGACGAAAGCCUGAUCCAGCAAUGCCGCGUGAGUGAUGAAGGCCUUAGGGUUGUAAAGCUCUUUUACCCGGGAUGAUAAUGGCAGUACCGGGAGAAUAAGCUCCGGCUAACUCCGUG